AGGUGGUGCAAGAGAAGAUGGAAUCCUAGUCUAACUAGGAUUCUUAUUUAGAUUAGGUCAAAUACUUUGAACCCAAUUUAAAUUAAUUAUAACCUAAUUAAUAGUGAUCCUAAUCCAACUAGAAGUCUAAUUAAAUCAGAUUAAAUUAUAUUUAAUUUAAAUCCUAACUUAAUUAGGAAUUAGGUGCAUACAAGUCCUUGUCAAACAGAGACUUGUUCUCCCUUGCAACUGGCUUAUCCAAUAAACCAAUUAGA
rnacentral:lncRNA from 1 species